rnacentral:rRNA from 1 species
ACACGACUACAUUAGAUACCCCCUGUAGUCCUAGCCGUAAACGAUACUCGCUAGGUGUCGGCCACGGUGCGACCGUUGUCGGUGCCGUAGGGAAGCCGUGAAGCGAGCCACCUGGGAAGUACGGCCGCAAGGCUGAAACUUAAAGGAAUUGGCGGGGGAGCACCGCAACGGGAGGAGCGUGCGGUUUAAUUGGAUUCAACACCGUAAACUCACCAGGGAAGACUGUUACAUGAAGGCCGAGAUGAAGACUCUGCUAGAUUUUCAG